CUGAUGCAAGGGAAAUGUCAGAGUGAUCGGUUCUCGAAUCCUGCCGGACCAUCAUUUUAUCAUGUCCCGCCAAACUAUUCCAGCAAAACCAAAAUAUAACAAGAUUUUAAAAGAGUUUUGUGAUAACGCCUCGAUUCAUGGAUUAAAAUAUUUAUUCGAAGAAGGAAGUCUACUGAUUGAAAGAAUAGUAUGGUUGGUUGUAUUUCUAUGCGGCAUUAUUUUCUCGGGAUACUUUUGUGUGCAAAUGUGGGAAAAAUGGGAAGUCUCCCGUUCUAACGUCCGUCGAAUCUCAACUUUAUCCUAUAAAUAACAUUUAAUUUGGAGUUUUGAAUGACCCCAUUUAGAGGGGCGAUUCCUAGCUACUUGCAAAGUCUGUACUUCAUAUUCCCAAUAAACAAUAUGUGCUGUCUCAUUUACAAAA